rnacentral:rRNA from 1 species
ACAUUAAAGCUAGCCUAAUUAAUUAUAUAAACACAACUCCAUUAAUUAUAUUACCCAUUUAUUACUUAAUUAAAACAUUUUAUGUUUUUAGUAUUGGUGACAGAACAA